UUUUCACACGGAUUCACUGCAAAAAACAUUCUGCUGCUAUAAAACCCAUGUAUGUUGUUGUUCCGCCUUUUCAGAUCUUCCAUCUCUCUCUCGUCACACUGUUUCUUCUCGUGUGAAGCUCACUGAAACAGUAUUUCUCAAGAAUAGAGAUCGCUUCCACUGCAAUACACGCCACCAUGUUUGGAGACAUCCUACACAUAUGACAACAAAAUUAGAAUAUCUGCAUGAGCAUGUAUGAGAUGAAAAUAAGUAAUGCUUACGAUUGAGCUAUAAAGAAUUCCAAAACAUCCCAGAGGCUCUCGUACUUAAAGCUUACCAGAAUGUAAAAAUCUCCUUGACGACCCUUGUGAUGUACAGCAGGAAUUCCAUAACAGCUAUGAGCGUACUUUACAGCAGAAAAAAAAAGAGAAAGAACAGAUAAGUAGAGACAAAUAAGGAGAAGAGAAACUAAGAAGGACAUGUAGAACAUGCAAGUCUUACUUGUACACUUGCCACUCGUAAAGUUUUUUUUGCAGGUAACAAGCAGUCAGGGAGCACGGAAAUACCACUUCUGGCCAUGUUAGAACGUUCUCUCCUGAUAUGGACUCCACGCUAGGUUCUUCAAAUGCACACUGUUUAGCUCACUG